rnacentral:rRNA from 1 species
CAAAUCAGGUAGGACUACCCGCUGAACUUAAGCAUAUCAAUAAGCGGAGGAAAAGAAACUAACCAGGAUUCCCCUAGUAACGGCGAGUGAAGCGGGAAGAGCUCAAAUUUGUAAUCUGGCGGUCUCAGGCCGUCCGAGUUGUAGUCUAGAGAAGCGUCUUCCGUGCCGGCCCGUGUACAAGUCCCUUGGAACAGGGCGUCAUAGAGGGUGAGAAUCCCGUCUUUGACACGGACUGCCGGUGCUCUGUGAUGCGCUCUCGAAGAGUCGAGUUGUUUGGGAAUGCAGCUCAAAACGGGUGGUAAAUUCCAUCUAAAGCUAAAUAUUGGCGAAAGACCGAUAGCGAACAAGUACCGUGAGGGAAAGAUGAAAAGCACUUUGGAAAGAGAGUUAAACAGUACGUGAAAUUGUUGAAAGGGAAACGCUUGAAGUCAGUCGGCGUCUUCCGGGACUCAGCUGGACACUCGUGUCCGGUGUACUUCCCGGUCUGACGGGCCAGCAUCGAUUUCGAUCGUCGGMGAAAGGCUCAGGGAACGUGGCACCUCCGGGUGUGUUAUAGCCCUGGGUCGUAUGCSACAGGUGGGGAUUCGAAGRAUCGCASCACGCCYUCACWUGSSCGGGGUUCGCCCACGCAACGUGCUUAGGAUGCUGGCGUAAUGGCUUUAAGCGACCCGUCUUGAAACACGGACCAAGGAGUCUAACAUGCCUGCGAGUGUUUGGGUGGAAAACCCGGACGCGGAAUGAAAGUGAAAAGUUGGGACCUCUGUCGUGGAGGGCACCGACUCCCGGACCAGACCUUCUGUGACGGUUCCGAGGUAGAGCAUGUAUGUUGGGACCCGAAAGAUGGUGAACUAUGCCUGAGUAGGGUGAAGCCAGAGGAAACUCUGGUGGAGGCUCGUAGCGAUUCUGACGUGCAAAUCGAUCGUCGAACUUGGGUAUAGGGGCGAAAGACUAAUCGAACCAUCAAUUCCCCU